CACCACAGGUUCUGUACCGGAAACAGAAUUGAUUAGUUCACCUCUGGAGUUUUUGGUUCACUUCACAGCCCCACUGCCUUCGGAAUAUGGGGCAGUCACAUGAUGAACGAAUGCCUCGAACCUGAAGACUUGAAACGUGAACUAAUCAAAUGUGACGUGACAAAAGAAGAACGAUUCGGAUCGGGAGGAGCUGAGUGCUUCCAGAGGCUGCGGGAGGUCCUUUGCUGCACCUUGGGCUUUACUUAAUUAAGGGUUGUUAUUAUUGCUGUGUUUAUUUGCAGUGAAUUUUGUGGGUAUGAUUCUGAUUAGUGGGGUGAUUUUCCCUUUUGUACAGCUGGUGCUGUCGUGCUAGCCUGCCCUUCACACAGGAAGCCUCAGUCUUCCUAUGAUUAUUGUUCAUUUUCUCUUGUGACUGUUUUAUUUGACCAACGCCUGACUGUGUUGGCUGCUUUUUUUAAAAAAAAAUUCUUGGCCAGUUUUUUUAACUUCAAAAUAAAAUGUAUUUUUGUAUGGAAACCCAUGCGUCUUGCCUAUUCUAAGUGGAACGUAUUUGUGUGUCUAUAUUUGGGUUAUUUUCCCCGUUUCCUCGGGGUGGCGUAGUUGUUGUAAAACGAGCCACAUUGCUGCACUCCCUCAUUAGCUUUGCUUACAAUAUCAAUAUGUAUAUGAACGGCUAGCCAUGAAAUAUAUCAAGAGAUUUGGUGAGAAUCUAUUACUUUGGUCCUGAUCGUGCUUGUGUACACUGUUUAUUACAUUUUUUAAUGACUUUUUUUUCUUUUCUUCAUAGAAUUAUUUCAGGCACAGAAGUAACUUUGUCUUUUUGUCAUAACCAAUAUGUAAAAAAUAUUAAACUUGCAUUUUUUGUUCUUUUACCUAAAGUAAAGUGUAACUUUAUGCACUUGGCAGCAGUGCUGUAGUACUUUGGAAUGGAACCUUAUGACCUUUGACCCGCACUGUGAAAAUUCAAAUGCCUUUUUUUUCAGUGUUGUUUGACAUGUUUCUGUGUUAUGUUUGUUUGAUGUUCUGUAAUGACUGAAUGUCAGCGCAGAAUUCACCAGACUUGUGUCGAUGGACCUGAGCAAGUUCUUUUAUGAGGGUCUUGACAAACACGCCUCAAAGCUGCUGUAUUUGUACCGCACAAGGCGCUAUGCAGACAACACAGAAAUGAGUGCCACAGUGGAGAACCUGGAUAAAAAUGCAUCAAAUCAACGGAAGAGGGUUGCAGUACAGUUGGGGCUGCCACUGUCCAUGCGGGAGAAUCCAUCUCAGUUCAUAAAGAUCUGUGAGAUGAUACAUUUCAGGAAGUUGAAAACCCCAAAAACUUCAAAUACACGUUUGAGGUCAUUCAGAGGCUGUUCAUGAACAUUGGAGCUGACGCCUGCAGUGCACGAGUACAUUCACUUAAAAAUAAACUGCUGAAGUAGAGAUGGGUAUUAUGCAUUUCUGUAAAAGAGAUUUCACGUGGUGGUGUGUUAUGUGUAUGUUAGUUUCUAAGACAGUUUUGUUUUAUAUUUUCACCUUUAAACACUGGGCAAAUGAAAUGUAAUUUUGUUAGGCAAAAACAGAUUUCUGCUUGCACUUUCUGUUUAUUUUGAGA